UACGUAGGGGGCAAGCGUUGUCCGGAUUUAUUGGGCGUAAAGAGCGUGUAGGCGGCCUGGUAGGUCAGCUGUGAAAACUCGAGGCUCAACCUCGAGACGCCGGUUGAAACCAUCAGGCUAGAGUCCGGAAGAGGCGAGUGGAAUUCCUGGUGUAGCGGUGGAAUGCGCAGAUAUCAGGAGGAACACCAAUAGCGAAGGCAGCUCGCUGGGACGUUACUGACACUGAGGCGCGAAAGCGUGGGGAGCGAACAGG
rnacentral:rRNA from 1 species